rnacentral:tRNA from 1 species
GCCUGGGUGGCUCAGUCGGUUAAGCAUCUGACUUAAGCUCAGGUCAUGAUGUCACGGGUGGGUUCUAGCCCCGCAUCAGGCU